UUUUGGUUGGGGGUUGGGACUUGUGAGUGAUUAGGUUUCUUUUAAUCUCUUAUAAAAUUGUAGUCUAAGCAGUCAUGGAUAGGUGCCAACUUUUUUUGGACUUCUGCAAAAACUGCCCUGCAGCACAGCUCUCUUUGGUAUUUGUUUUACCCUACUUAAUGAUCUUCAAAUAUACUGAACUUUUGACAUGUUUCUGUUUUGUUAGUUAACAAAGGAUCUGGAAAGUUUCAUCUUAUUCCGAAGCAAAGUGAAUUUUCGGUGAUUCUUCCAAAUUUGAUUGCUUUGACUCUUUCGUGUCGAUUUUACUGGGAGAGGAGAGCUUGCAGAUCGCCAUGUCAAUUCCAUAUAUAUAUAUAUAUAUAUGGUAGAUUGCUUUGGAGUAAUAUUACUCUAUAAUUAUUUAUUUUUGGGUUAGAAGUAGUCUAGUUUUGCUUGGUGUUCUCUUAAAUUAUGUUCUGAAUUGGCUUCAAGCCUUUUGACUUUGAUGAUAUAACAAGCCUUUUGUAUUGUUCCAAAAUGAA